UGGGGAAUAUUGCACAAUGGGCGAAAGCCUGAUGCAGCAACGCCGCGUGAGUGAUGAAGGCCUUCGGGUUGUAAAGCUCUGUCUUUUGGGACGAUAAUGACGGUACCAAAGGAGGAAGCCACGGCUAACUACGUGCCAGCAGCCGCGGUAAUACGUAGGUGGCAAGCGUUGUCCGGAUUUACUGGGCGUAAAGGAUGCGUAGGCGGAUUUUUAAGUGAGAUGUGAAAUACCCGGGCUUAACUUGGGUGCUGCAUUUCAAACUGGGAAUCUAGAGUGCGGGAGAGGAGAAUGGAAUUCCUAGUGUAGCGGUGAAAUGCGUAGAGAUUAGGAAGAACACCAGUGGCGAAGGCGAUUCUCUGGACCGUAACUGGCGCUGAGGCAUGAAAAGCGUGGGUAGCAAACAGGAUUAGAUACCCUGGUAGUCCACGCCGUAAACGAUGAGUACUAGGUGUAGGAGGUAUCGACCCCUUCUGUGCCGCAAUUAACACAAU
rnacentral:rRNA from 1 species